rnacentral:rRNA from 1 species
AUUGAACGCUGGCGGCAGGCCUAACACAUGCAAGUCGAGCGGAUGACGGGAGCUUGCUCCUUGAUUCAGCGGCGGACGGGUGAGUAACGCCUAGGAAUCUGCCUGGUAGUGGGGGACAACGUUUCGAAAGGAACGCUAAUACCGCAUACGUCCUACGGGAGAAAGCAGGGGACCUUCGGGCCCUGCGCUAUCAGAUGAGCCUAGGUCGGAUUAGCUAGUUGGGGAGGUCAUGGCUCACCAAGGCGACGAUCCGUAACUGGUCUGAGAGGAAGAUCAGUCACACUGGAACUGAGACACGGUCCAGACUCCUACGGGAGGCAGCAGUGGGGAAUAUUGGACAAUGGGCGAAAGCCUGACGCAGCGACGCCGCGUGGGUGACGAAGGCCUUCGGGUUGUUAAGCCCUGUGGGGUGAGACGAACAGCUGGGGUUCGAAUAGGGCCUUGGUCUUACGGUAUCACCUUAGCAAGCACCGGCUAGCUCUGUGCCAGCAGCCGCAGUAAAAC